CUCUCUCACCAUUUAAUUAAAACAUUUUAUACUUUUAGUAUCUGUGACAGAAAAAUUAAUCAGCGCAAUA
rnacentral:tRNA from 1 species